UGGGUUGUGGCUCAGUGGUAGAGUGCUCACCUAGGGUGGGUGAGACACUGGGUUCUAUCCUCAGCGCCACAU
rnacentral:tRNA from 1 species